rnacentral:lncRNA from 1 species
CUGGGCUGGGGGCAGCGGGAGCAGAGCUGAGCAGAGCAGUGCUGCAGCUCGUUACUUCCCAGCCCAGGGAUUUAUUUCCCAAAAGUCUUUAACUGAUUCCCACAGCUGCAUGGGAUUUUGCACCGACAACACCUUUCUGCUGGGAACGGAGCCAACACCCCCACAAGAAUUACAGAGCAUGCCAGGCCCAGGGCUGGAGGCAACGGCCAUUUACAGAAAUCAACGGGAGGCGAAGGACAGCUGUACCUGUGCGUAUGUCACUGCUCACAGCGAUGCCAAUUCGACAGGGGAAAAAAAAAACCAAAAACAGCCCUUCUGCAUGACUUCAUCCCUUAAUACUCCAGGCGAUGUAAAACGCAGUGUGCAAAAGGCAGAGCAGCCUCACCUCUGGCUGCUCGCUCCCACUCAGCUGCCUCGGAUCGAGAGUUCGCUGCUCCCCACAGCGGGGUGGGCACAGCCAAACCCGGCGCAUAAGAGGGCAGCGCGGCCGCUCGCGGUCCGUCCGUCCACCCCGUCGGGGAAACCCCACCCGGCAGCCCAUGCCCCCCGCCGGUCUGCCCGCGGCGCGGAGCGACGGCACCACCUGGCGGCGGCGUGGGGCGGCCGGGACCUGCGGGAAAAAUCCUUUUUCCCCUUUUUCUUCCCCUUUCCCUCUCCUUUUUUUUUUUCCUUUUUUUUUGUUGUUGUUGUUGUUGUUGUUGUUGUUGUUCCUGCUGUCCCACAGCAAAGAGCUGCUGUGCUCCCGGCCCGCUGCCCCUUCACGGUGCCGCACAGAGAGGAGAGGUGCGGCCUUUGGGCUCAGUCCCCGUCCCGCCCCGUCGGGUGCGCGACUCUGGGCCAAUCUGGGAAAGGGUCGGGUGGGCGCCGCGGGGCUUCGGGCCCGGCUUUCCCUCGGCAUCACCCGCUGCUGGAAGGUACAGGAAUAAACAGAGAGCCUCCCCUUUCCCACACUGUUCUUAUAGUGAAGCCGGAGCAGCCUAUGCCUGCAGCUCAUAGGCAGAUCCACGUCCAAAUAAACAGCACUUUUUUUUUUUCCUGAUAGCGUUUCCAUCCCCCCACCCUUGACACCCGCACAGAUCAAAGCAACGCUGGGAACGGAGCGGGGAGGACAGCCUGGACGGCAGUUCCUGCAGCCCCAUCGCACGAUCGAACAUCCCGCUGCAAAGCCAGGCUGCCCGCCCCCCCACCACAUCGGGGCUCGGCUCCGCCACCCCAGCGCUGGGGUGAAGACGGAGGAAAAUGAGGUGGUGGAAGGGGAAAACACAGCCCGAGCAACCAGUACUGACCUUCCCCGGACAAACAGCGGCAACGCAGAGCGAGGCUGCGCCGGGCGCUGCCCUAUGCAUCGCGCACGGCCGCAGGUGCGGGGCCGACGGCUGCCGUCGGGGCGCGCCCCGCCCCGAGCACAGGUGCGCGGGUGCGCAGAGCCCUGCGCAGGUAGGGUCGAGGGUGCGCAGUGGAGCCCCACGGAGGCUCCGGCGCUGCCCUUUGUGCCUCUCUCCCCGCGAUCGGGGCCGGCAGACAGAGCGGCGACCCGGCGGGUAAUUGGGGCUGCGGGGCCGUGCGCGCAGCGGAGCGAGCGGAGCCUAAUUGGCAGCUGGGGAGGGGUGGGGGGGGUACUGCCCUUUGUGGCGGCCGCGGGGCUGCGCGCCCGGCUGGCGGGCGCCGGGAUGGCACAAAGAGACCCCCCCCCCUCAUCGGGACGGAGCGAUCCCUUCGAUGCCAAGGAUGGGGCUGCAGGGGUGGCCUUUGGAAGUGGUGAAAUCCUACAAACCCCACAGAGCAGCGACCAAAAGCGGAGUUCCCCUUUUUCCUCCCAACCUGGCAGUGCUAAGGGUACUGCCCCUGUGUCCCUUCCAACCGCGAUGCAGGGAUCUGGUGUGUUGGGAAGCGUGGUGGCACUGGGAUGACAUACUCAGGGCGGCAGCACCGCACUGGGGUUUGCAUGCCAUUCCCAAAUCCUUGCCUGGAUUUGGCCACUGGGCCUAAGGAACAGGGCAGGGAUGUGCAGGGCCAGUGCGUGGGUGAGCACCUUGGCU